GCUUGUCUCAAAGAUUAAGCCAUGCAUGUCUAAGUAUAAACAACUUUAUACUGUGAAACUGCGAACGGCUCAUUAUAUCAGCAAUAAUUUAUUUGAUGGUUUCUUACUACAUGGAUAACUGUAGUAAUUCUAGAGCUAAUACAUGCGUAAAGUCCCGACUCUUGCGGGGAGGGAUGUAUUUAUUAGAUAAAAAACCAAUGCGGCCUUCUGGUCGGUAUUGUGGUGAAUCAUAGUAACUUUUCGAAUCGCAUGGCUUCACGCCGGCGAUAGUUCAUUCAAAUUUCUGCCCUAUCAAUUUGAUGGUAGGAUAGAGGCCUACCAUGGUGGUAACGGGUGACGGAGAAUUAGGGUUCGAUUCCGGAGAGGGAGCCUGAGAAACGGCUACCACAUCCAAGGAAGGCAGCAGG
rnacentral:rRNA from 1 species